ensembl:misc_RNA
CUGGAUCCACAGCCCUGGAGACUGAAGUCCUCUGUCUAUCCACAGACCAGAUACAGCACGGGCAGCGGCAGUGGCAGCGCAAGCUUUCCCCACACUGCCUCCACCCUGUGCCUCAACUCCGACUUGGAGGAGCCACCUUUAAAGGUGAGAGGGGUCAUUCAGUCGCUGUGCCCGCCCAGUCUUGAGCCUCA